AUCUCCUUUCCGCUGUACCCGCCAUCUUGUAGAGACCGGGGUAAUCAGGCAACAUGACGAACACCAGAGGCAAGAGGAGGGGGACGAGGUAUAUGUUCAGCAGGCCUUUCCGCAAGCAUGGCCCCAUUCCCCUGUCCACAUACAUGCGCAUCUACAA